GUGACGGUUCACACGCAGUGCUGAGGUGAUUCCAUGUAACUUCUCAGGCUGUGCAGGGCUCAGUCAAUGUAAGAGAAGACGAAAACUGGAGCCUCCAUGGGCUGGCAAAGGACUUUGUGGGUUCUUAUGCGGCAUCCUUAGAAGACUCCGAGGAAUUACUUGGCAGGAGAGGAAGAGUAAAGACAUGAGCAAGAUGCCUGGAACUUGAAGGUUCUACAGUAGAAGAUGGAGAGAGAAGCCAGUAAAAUACAGGACCCAGGCUGAUGGAGCAGCCCCUAUCUGGGACACAUUGGUCUUAUGGUGGAGUGGAGAGCAUGAAUAAUAGGAACUGAACUAAACCAGGAAACAAGAAAGAAGACUCCAGAGUCAGAUUACAUGGUAAGUACAUCAGUCAGCAACAUUUUCCUGGACUUAGAGGUGGUGCUUGCAAGUCUUUGGGUCCCAAAAUGCCUUAUAGGCUGACUAACAGUUACAGGUAGCAAUGUUGGAGUAACUGAAGAUUACACUAGAAUUUUUGGAAGCUCAACUAUUUUCUUCCACAUCCAGCCCUACAAUGCUGGAAGAGUUCUGCAUGUCUACUGUUCUGGACUGUGAUGGAAUUAAACCUCAUUUAGAUCAGGUACAUUUGAGGGUCCUUCAAUAUACAAGAUGGAUGGAGAACAGCACACUGCAGUGCACUUGGGUAUAAACAUAGCCCUCAUUCUGCACCCCCAACCUCCCUCAGGCUAAGAUAGUCUGAUUAAAGUGCAUUCUGGAACUCAGUGCAUAGAACUCGGCUCUGUCACCCAGCAGUGCCUGGGAAUCAUGCUAACUGUUCUCCAACGUGGCUCCAAUCCUCUCCCACAUUCCCCAUCAUACCCCCAAAUACUAUUCAAAGUCCUGAAAACGGUCUUGAGGCCCAAGAUUAUCUGGCCACUGCCUACUUGUCUCUUACCCACUCUGGCCACACUGGCUUCUCACUUGUUCUAGAACAUGCCAAGCUCAUUUGUGCCUCAGAACCUGUACUUUUGUCAUCCCUCUGACAGGAUGUUCAUCAUCCAAUACCCCAGAUGGCUUCUUCUAUCACUUUCUCAGGUCCCUAUUUAAAUGUCAUCCCUCAGCAAGGCCUUUUUGACCCCCAAAUCUAAAACAGCCCCUGCUCCCAUCCAUAUUUUACAAUCCCUUUUUUUGUAUCUUCAUAAUACUGAACACCACGUGACAUAAUGUCCUUUGUUUAUUUCUUUAGUCUUUGUCUCCUGCACUAGGAUAGAAGUGCUGUGAGGGCAAGCACUUUGAUUGCAUUGGUAUCUGCUGUAUUCCCAUCAAUCAGAACAGCAUUUAUAGCAUAAAAGGCGCACAAUAAGCACAUUUGUGGUAUAAAUAAUUUAAUGCAUAAAUGAAUAAAUGAGGCAGAAUAAAAAAAAGUUUGAGGAAAGAUAAGAAAAAUGUCUAGAUCACAAUAACAACUGUGACAACACCAGGAGAAAAUACAUUACUAUUUUUACAGAUAAAGAAACCAAGGCUCAGAAAGUUUAGAUGUUUUGCCCACAGUUUGGAAAGGGGUGGAGUAAAGCCUCAAUCCCCAAUCAAUCUGAUGUCAGGCCACAAAGAUAAACUCUAUAUUAUGUUGACUGCCAGUAUACUAAAGCAGUGAUUUCCAAGAAUGUGUGCUUCUAGGGGGAGCAUUAGAAUGAAACUCUUUUCAUUAAAAUGUCUAUUUCUGUUCUUUUAAAAAUUUAUGAUUUUAAAUUCUAUUUUGUUUAGGUUUUAUAAAGUACACAAUUAUAUGUGUACAGAGAAGAGUCAUUCAUGUGUACUUUAUUAUUACAUGGGCUCCAAAUGUGCUUUUAAAGUAUUUGGAGGCCUCUUUUCUAAAUUAUCAUCUACUUCUGGGAAGUUGUGAGUAGGAUGGGGGGACUGGUGAGGGUGCUAGACGCCUGCGGUGAAGGUGCCAGCUGAACACCGAGGGUCUGGAAAGGCGUUAAAAGUGGGUACCUUGGUCUGUGUGACACCUGAGACUCAGAGCCAGAGUUUGGCAGCUAUGAAUGUCAGUAUUCCCUGAUAUGGCAACUGUUAAAAAAGCUGAAAAAGAGUUCAGACUUCCAUUAGAGAUAUGAAUGAAGCU